UUGGUAUCUUAGUGGCGGACGGGUGAGUAACGCGUGGGUAACCUGCCUUACACUGGGGGAUAACACUUAGAAAUAGGUGCUAAUACCGCAUAACAGGGAAAGAUGCAUGUCUUUUCCUUAAGAACUCCGGUGGUGUAAGAUGGACCCGCGUCUGAUUAGCUAGUUGGCGGGGUAACGGCCCACCAAGGCGACGAUCAGUAGCCGGCCUGAGAGGGUGAACGGCCACAUUGGGACUGAGACACGGCCCAAACUCCUACGGAAGGCAGCAG
rnacentral:rRNA from 1 species